ACUUGGUAGACCGCAUGCGGUACUUUCUGGUAUAAUGAAUGCACAUUGGUCCGGCAGCUAGCGAUCGAGCUGUGCUAGUGCUACCGCUACUAGGAGGCGACUCUGCGCCAGCUGUCAUGGUCGACGCCAUGUCCGGCGGCGUCCUCGUCGCGCUCAUGGUGUUGCUGCUGGUGGCUGCGCCUGCGCUGCUCUCGCGGCUGGAGCGGCGCCGGCGGCCGCCGCCGGGGCCCGUGGCGCUGCCGGUCGUGGGACACCUGCACCUCCUGCGGAGGCCGCUGCACCGCACCCUGGCGCGGCUCGCGGCUCGCCAUGGCGCCGCCGCCGUGAUGGGCCUGCGGUUCGGGUCCCGCCGCGUCGCCGUCGUGUCGUCGGCGCCGGCUGCCGAGGAGUGCCUCGGCCCGCACGACCUCGCGUUCGCCGACAAGCCGCGGCUGCCGUCCGGGGAGAUCCUGUCGUACGAGUGGUCCACCAUGGGCACCGCCAGCUACGGUCCGUACUGGCGCCACAUCCGCCGCAUCACCGUCACCGAGCUGCUCUCCGCGCACCGGGUGCAGCACUUCGCCGGCGUCAACGCCCGCGAGGUGCGCGCCAUGGCGCGCCGUCUCUACCGGCGGGCGGCCGCCGCCGCCGCCUCCGCGGGUGGAGCUCAAGUCGCGGCUGUUCGAGCUGUUCAUGAACAUCAUGAUGGCCAUGAUCUGCGACAGGACCUUCUACGGCGACGGCGACGACGAGGUGAGCGAGGAGGCGCGGUGGUUCAGGUCGGUGGUGAAGGAGACGAUGGAGCUGAGCGGCGCGUCGACGGCGUGGGACUUCCUGCCGGCGGCGGCGCGCUGGCUGUUCGCGCGCAGGUUGACGCGGCGGAUGCGGGAGCUGUCAGACAGCCGGACGAGGUUCUACCAGCGGCUGAUCACCGACCACAGGACGAAGGAGAAGACGGACGACGACAACGCCGCCGCCGGCGACCACUCUCCGGCGCCGAGGCGGCGAACCAUGAUCGGCGUGCUCCUCUCCCUGCAGAGCAAGGACCCCGACGCGUGCCCCGACCAGCUCAUCCGCGCCCUCUGCAUCGGAUCCCUGCAAGCCGGGACGGAGACGUCGGCGGCGGUGGUGGAGUGGGCGAUGUCGCUGCUGCUGAACAACCCCGGCGCGAUGGCGAGGGCUCGCGGCGAGAUCGACGCGUGCGUGGGGCAGCCGGCGGCGCGGCUGCUGGAGGCGGCCGACCUCCCCAAGCUGCACUACCUCCGGUGCGUCGUGAUGGAGACGCUCCGGCUGUACCCGCCGGUGCCGCUCCUCGCGCACGAGUCGUCCGCCGACUGCGACGUCGCCGGCUUCCACGUCCGCAAGGGGACGAUGCUGCUGGUGAACACGUUUGCUAUUCACAGAGAUCCACAGGUUUGGGAUGAACCAGAAUCCUUCUUCCCAGACAGGUUUGCGGAUGGACAAAACGAAGCGAAGAUGGUGAUCCCGUUUGGUAUGGGGAGAAGGGGGUGCCCGGGAGAGAAUUUGGCGAUGCAAAUGGUCGGACUUACACUAGGGACGCUGAUCCAGUGCUUUGAUUGGGAAAGGGUGGGGGAAGAGCUCGAGGACAUGGGUGAGUCCUCUGGGAUUACAAUGCCAAAGAAGUUGCCUCUUGAGGCAUUCUAUCAACCUAGAGCAUGCAUGGUUCAUCUUCUUUCGUCCUAAUAUUUAAUCAGCAGUUUUCCAAACAUAAUUGGUUGUUGAACUCUGUAAUCGAAAGAAAUGAUGUAGCUCAAUUUGGUGUGAUUUGCCCAUAGUAAUUGGUGCCUCUGUUACUCUAUAUAUGUAUCCUAUGAAACUUUUUAUGAACCUAACUAGUUGAGAACUGGUAUGUGUUUUGAUAAGAAUAUACUAGAAAUAUUGGCGUGCUACGCUGCGCCCGGUUGA